UCUGCACCAUCUACAGGGACAAAGAGAUCCUGAGACAGAAAGUAGUGCUGCAGGUCAAAGAACCAUUUCUAAUCUGGAACAUUGUUCUUGUGGUUCUCCUGGUUCUUCUUGUGGUUUCUGGAGGUCUCAUAUAUUAUUUCCAGCACUAUUUCAUGUCAGUUUACCAGGUGGAGGUGAAAUCAGGGGUGGAGUCUGUCCUGCUGCCCUGCAAAACCACACUCCGCCUGCCCAAAGACGCUGAAGUGGAGUGGAAGGAUGGUUCUAUGUAUGACAGGAAGGUCCACGUGUAUGAGAACGGCUCUGACCAGCCUAAAAAACAGCAUGAGGAUUACAGAGGCCGAACAGAGAUGAAGAGAAGCCUGCUGAAACCUGGAGACCUCAGUCUGACCCUGAAAUACCCCACAGAUGAAGACACAAACACCUACACCUGCACUGUUUACAGCAAGGAGGGAAACAUCCUGAUGAAGAAAGACGUGGUGCUCAUUUUCAGAGGCUUAGAGGGAACAUGUUCUGCCCGG
ensembl:lncRNA